rnacentral:rRNA from 1 species
ACGGAAGGCAGCAGUGGGGGAUAUUGCACAAUGGGGGAAACCCUGAUGCAGCGACGCCGCGUGAGUGAAGAAGUAUUUCGGUAUGUAAAGCUCUAUCAGCAGGAAAGAUAAUGACGGUACCUGACUAAGAAGCACCGGCUAAAUACGUGCCAGCAGCCGCGGUAAUACGUAUGGUGCAAGCGUUAUCCGGAUUUACUGGGUGUAAAGGGAGCGUAGACGGCAAGGCAAGUCUGAUGUGAUAACCCAAGGCUCAACCAUGGGACUGCAUUGGAAACUGUCUAGCUAGAGUGCAGGAGAGGUAAGUGGAAUUCCUAGUGUAGCGGUGGAAUGCGUAGAUAUUAGGAGGAACACCAGUGGCGAAGGCGGCUUACUGGACUGUAACUGACGUUGAGGCUCGAAAGCGUGGGGAGCAAACAGGAUUAGAUACCCUGGUA